GUGUAGUUUUUUAUGUUUUGAUUUUUAGCUAUUCUGGCAGGUGGGAGAUUAAAUCUCAUUGUGGUUUUGAUUUGCAUUUACCUGAUGAUGAGUGAUGCUGAGUAUCUUUUCAUGU